GCGCACCAGGCGCAAACUUUACAAUGUGCGAAAGCACGAUAAGGGAACUCUGAGUGCCUCCUAAGGAGGCUGUUCAGGUGUCUAAAAGCACCUGAAGGAAGGGCUGGGUAAGACCGGUGCCAGCCGCCGCGGUAACACCGGCAGCCCAAGUGGUAGCCACGUUUAUUGGGUCUAAAGCGUCCGUAGCCGGCUGGGUAAGUUCCUUGGGAAAUUUGGCUGCUUAACAGUCAAGCUUUCAGGGAAUACUGCCCGGCUUGGGACCGGGAGAGGUCAGAGGUACUCCAGGGGUAGGGGUGAAAUCCAUUAAUCCUUGGGGGACCACCGGUAGCGAAGGCGUCUGACCAGACCGGGUCCGACGGUGAGGGACGAAGGCUAGGGGCGCGAACCGGAUUAGAUACCCGCGUAGU
rnacentral:rRNA from 1 species